GACGGGGGGGGCAAGUGUUCUUCGGAAUGACUGGGCGUAAAGGGCACGUAGGCGGUGAAUCGGGUUGAAAGUGAAAGUCGCCAAAAAGUGGCGGAAUGCUCUCGAAACCAAUUCACUUGAGUGAGACAGAGGAGAGUGGAAUUCCCGGUGUAGCGGUGAAAUGCGCAGAUAUCGGGAGGAACACCAAUGGCGAAGGCAGCUCGCUGGGACGUUACUGACGCUGAGACGCGAAAGCGUGGGGAGCAAACAGG
rnacentral:rRNA from 1 species